UUUAUGGAGAGUUUGAUCCUGGCUCAGGAUGAACGCUGGCGGCGUGCCUAAUACAUGCAAGUCGAGCGAACUGACGAGGAGCUUGCUCCUUUGACGU
rnacentral:rRNA from 2 species